rnacentral:rRNA from 1 species
CGGAAGGCCCUUCGGGGUACUCGAGUGGCGAACGGGUGAGUAACACGUGGGUGAUCUGCCCUGCACUUUGGGAUAAGCCUGGGAAACUGGGUCUAAUACCGAAUACACCCUUCUGGCUGCAUGGUCUGGUUGGGGAAAGCUUUUGCGGUGUGGGAUGGGCCCGCGGCCUAUCAGCUUGUUGGUGAGGUUACGGCUCACCAAGGCGACGACGGGUAGCCGGCCUGAGAGGGUGACCGGCCACACUGGGACUGAGAUACGGCCCAGACUCCUACGGGAGGCAGCAGUGGGGAAUAUUGCACAAUGGGCGCAAGCCUGAUGCAGCGACGCCGCGUGAGGGAUGACGGCCUUCGGGUUGUAAACCUCUUUCGCCAGGGACGAAGCGCAAGUGACGGUACCUGGAGAAGAAGGACCGGCCAACUACGUGCCAGCAGCCGCGGUAAUACGUAGGGUCCGAGCGUUGUCCGGAAUUACUGGGCGUAAAGAGCUCGUAGGUGGUUUGUCGCGUUGUUCGUGAAAACUCACAGCUCAACUGUGGGCGUGCGGGCGAUACGGGCAGACUGGAGUACUGCAGGGGAGACUGGAAUUCCUGGUGUAGCGGUGGAAUGCGCAGAUAUCAGGAGGAACACCGGUGGCGAAGGCGGGUCUCUGGGCAGUAACUGACGCUGAGGAGCGAAAGCGUGGGGAGCGAACAGGAUUAGAUACCCUGGUAGUCCACGCCGUAACGGUGGGUACUAGGUGUGGGUUUCCUUCCUUGGGAUCCGUGCCGUAGCUAACGCAUUAAGUACCCCGCCUGGGGAGUACGGCCGCAAGGCUAAAACUCAAAGAAAUUGACGGGGGCCCGCACAAGCGGCGGAGCAUGUGGAUUAAUUCGAUGCAACGCGAAGAACCUUACCUGGGUUUGACAUGCACAGGACGUGCCUAGAGAUAGGUAUUCCCUUGUGGCCUGUGUGCAGGUGGUGCAUGGCUGUCGUCAGCUCGUGUCGUGAGAUGUUGGGUUAAGUCCCGCAACGAGCGCAACCCUUAUCUUAUGUUGCCAGCGCGUAAUGGCGGGGACUCGUGAGAGACUGCCGGGGUCAACUCGGAGGAAGGUGGGGAUGACGUCAAGUCAUCAUGCCCCUUAUGUCCAGGGCUUCACACAUGCUACAAUGGCCGGUACAAAGGGCUGCGAUGCCGUGAGGUGGAGCGAAUCCUUUCAAAGCCGGUCUCAGUUCGGAUCGGGGUCUGCAACUCGACCCCGUGAAGUCGGAGUCGCUAGUAAUCGCAGAUCAGCAACGCUGCGGUGAAUACGUUCCCGGGCCUUGUACACACCGCCCGUCACGUCAUGAAAGUCGGUAACACCCGGAAGCCGGUGGCCUAACCCCUUGUGGGAGGGAGCCGUCGAAGGUGGGAUCGGCGAUUGGGACGAAGUCGU